rnacentral:rRNA from 1 species
AGCGUACACGGUGGAUGCCCUGGCAGUCAGAGGCGAUGAAGGACGUGCUAAUCUGCGAUAAGCGUCGGUAAGGUGAUAUGAACCGUUAUAACCGGCGAUUUCCGAAUGGGGAAACCCAGUGUGAUUCGUCACACUAUCAUUAACUGAAUCCAUAGGUUAAUGAGGCGAACCGGGGGAACUGAAACAUCUAAGUACCCCGAGGAAAAGAAAUCAACCGAGAUUCCCCCAGUAGCGGCGAGCGAACGGGGAGCAGCCCAGAGCCUGAAUCAGUGUGUGUGUUAGUGGAAGCGUCUGGAAAGGCGCGCGAUACAGGGUGACAGCCCCGUACACAAAAAUGCACAUGCUGUGAGCUCGAUGAGUAGGGCGGGACACGUGGUAUCCUGUCUGAAUAUGGGGGGACCAUCCUCCAAGGCUAAAUACUCCUGACUGACCGAUAGUGAACCAGUACCGUGAGGGAAAGGCGAAAAGAACCCCGGCGAGGGGAGUGAAAAAGAACCUGAAACCGUGUACGUACAAGCAGUGGGAGCACGCUUAGGCGUGUGACUGCGUACCUUUUGUAUAAUGGGUCAGCGACUUAUAUUCUGUAGCAAGGUUAACCGAAUAGGGGAGCCGAAGGGAAACCGAGUCUUAACUGGGCGUUAAGUUGCAGGGUAUAGACCCGAAACCCGGUGAUCUAGCCAUGGGCAGGUUGAAGGUUGGGUAACACUAACUGGAGGACCGAACCGACUAAUGUUGAAAAAUUAGCGGAUGACUUGUGGCUGGGGGUGAAAGGCCAAUCAAACCGGGAGAUAGCUGGUUCUCCCCGAAAGCUAUUUAGGUAGCGCCUCGUGAAUUCAUCUCCGGGGGUAGAGCACUGUUUCGGCAAGGGGGUCAUCCCGACUUACCAACCCGAUGCAAACUGCGAAUACCGGAGAAUGUUAUCACGGGAGACACACGGCGGGUGCUAACGUCCGUCGUGAAGAGGGAAACAACCCAGACCGCCAGCUAAGGUCCCAAAGUCAUGGUUAAGUGGGAAACGAUGUGGGAAGGCCCAGACAGCCAGGAUGUUGGCUUAGAAGCAGCCAUCAUUUAAAGAAAGCGUAAUAGCUCACUGGUCGAGUCGGCCUGCGCGGAAGAUGUAACGGGGCUAAACCAUGCACCGAAGCUGCGGCAGCGACGCUGAUGCGUUGUUGGGUAGGGGAGCGUUCUGUAAGCCUGCGAAGGUGUGCUGUGAGGCAUGCUGGAGGUAUCAGAAGUGCGAAUGCUGACAUAAGUAACGAUAAAGCGGGUGAAAAGCCCGCUCGCCGGAAGACCAAGGGUUCCUGUCCAACGUUAAUCGGGGCAGGGUGAGUCGACCCCUAAGGCGAGGCCGAAAGGCGUAGUCGAUGGGAAACAGGUUAAUAUUCCUGUACUUGGUGUUACUGCGAAGGGGGGACGGAGAAGGCUAUGUUGGCCGGGCGACGGUUGUCCCGGUUUAAGCGUGUAGGCUGGUUUUCCAGGCAAAUCCGGAAAAUCAAGGCUGAGGCGUGAUGACGAGGCACUACGGUGCUGAAGCAACAAAUGCCCUGCUUCCAGGAAAAGCCUCUAAGCAUCAGGUAACAUCAAAUCGUACCCCAAACCGACACAGGUGGUCAGGUAGAGAAUACCAAGGCGCUUGAGAGAACUCGGGUGAAGGAACUAGGCAAAAUGGUGCCGUAACUUCGGGAGAAGGCACGCUGAUAUGUAGGUGAAGCGACUUGCUCGUGGAGCUGAAAUCAGUCGAAGAUACCAGCUGGCUGCAACUGUUUAUUAAAAACACAGCACUGUGCAAACACGAAAGUGGACGUAUACGGUGUGACGCCUGCCCGGUGCCGGAAGGUUAAUUGAUGGGGUUAGCGCAAGCGAAGCUCUUGAUCGAAGCCCCGGUAAACGGCGGCCGUAACUAUAACGGUCCUAAGGUAGCGAAAUUCCUUGUCGGGUAAGUUCCGACCUGCACGAAUGGCGUAAUGAUGGCCAGGCUGUCUCCACCCGAGACUCAGUGAAAUUGAACUCGCUGUGAAGAUGCAGUGUACCCGCGGCAAGACGGAAAGACCCCGUGAACCUUUACUAUAGCUUGACACUGAACAUUGAGCCUUGAUGUGUAGGAUAGGUGGGAGGCUUUGAAGUGUGGACGCCAGUCUGCAUGGAGCCGACCUUGAAAUACCACCCUUUAAUGUUUGAUGUUCUAACGUUGACCCGUGAUCCGGGUUGCGGACAGUGUCUGGUGGGUAGUUUGACUGGGGCGGUCUCCUCCUAAAGAGUAACGGAGGAGCACGAAGGUUGGCUAAUCCUGGUCGGACAUCAGGAGGUUAGUGCAAUGGCAUAAGCCAGCUUGACUGCGAGCGUGACGGCGCGAGCAGGUGCGAAAGCAGGUCAUAGUGAUCCGGUGGUUCUGAAUGGAAGGGCCAUCGCUCAACGGAUAAAAGGUACUCCGGGGAUAACAGGCUGAUACCGCCCAAGAGUUCAUAUCGACGGCGGUGUUUGGCACCUCGAUGUCGGCUCAUCACAUCCUGGGGCUGAAGUAGGUCCCAAGGGUAUGGCUGUUCGCCAUUUAAAGUGGUACGCGAGCUGGGUUUAGAACGUCGUGAGACAGUUCGGUCCCUAUCUGCCGUGGGCGCUGGAGAACUGAGGGGGGCUGCUCCUAGUACGAGAGGACCGGAGUGGACGCAUCACUGGUGUUCGGGUUGUCAUGCCAAUGGCACUGCCCGGUAGCUAAAUGCGGAAGAGAUAAGUGCUGAAAGCAUCUAAGCACGAAACUUGCCCCGAGAUGAGUUCUCCCUGACUCCUUGA